GAGAGGACAGAGGACAGGACAUGGAGAUAUUAGCGUGGAGGCCCAGCUGUUUCCUGCAAUUCCGUUUUCCCUCGAUAUGACUGUGCUGCCUCCAUCUCUCUGUCCCCCUCCACCUUUGCUCUCAAGCUUCCUUCCCACCAGUCUCUCUUCCAGGACCCCAUGGCAUCAAGUCCUCACUCCUACCUUACCCUCAGCCUUCCUGGAGGGUGCCUAUACCCCGUAACUGGGACAAAGACUAUCCCUGGGAGCCCCAGAUUCUACGAAGGACACAAACUGGCCUAGUCUGUCACCUGUUUCCAGCUAGAUGAAUCCACUUACACUAAUGAAAACAGACCCCCCAAACUCAGGGUAAAUUCCUGGGACUCUGAUGAGCCCCUGUCAGCCUCUACCUGGCAGAAGAGGCUGUCAGGGCAAGCUUCCAGCAGCAAAGGGCUGUGCACACUGGGGCAGCCGGCCCUGCCAUGGGUGGCAGCGAGGCAUGCACAGUUAGUGACACCCAAGGGCACAUGCUGGCAAAGGUAGAGCAGCUUGCUCUAGUGCAGAGAAGAUAGGCCUGGUGUCAGGAGACCCUUGACUGGGUCCUAACUCUGCUACUAAGUUCUGUGUGAUCAUGGGUAAGACAUGUUCCCUCUCUUGGCCGCAACUUCCUUAUCAGUAAAAUGAGAGGUUGGCUGCUAGGAAAUUUAAAAAAGAUCCUGCUCUUAGAGCACACUACAGAGAUCUUGCGGUUGCAAUUCGGUUACUCUAGGUGAAGGGUGAAAAGGCUCUAUCCUCUUGUUAAAGGGGGGGUUUGAGUGACACGUUCUAAGCCUUCAAUUUUUGUGACCAAUGGAGAGGGGGUGAUGAGAAGGGCAGUGCCUUUUACAAUUUCUGACUAUGCCCAACAAAAGGUAUAUUCCUGGGAUGGGGACCCGGUGGAGCAUACUAGCCCUAGUCACCCCCCGGGAAUGCCCAGAGGGGCCCAGGUUGCAGUUAUAUUCUGGAGAAGUCACAGCGGUUCUGCAGGGACUACCCUACCCCCCUCACGCAGGCCCCAUGGGGCAUUUCUACC